UACGUAGGGCGCAAGCGUAUCCGGAAUUAUUGGGCGUAAAGAGCUCGUAGGCGGUUUGUUGCGUCGGCUGUGAAAUCCCGAGGCUCAACCUCGGGUCUGCAGUCGAUACGAGCAAACUAGAGUGUUGCAGGGGAGACUGGAAUUCCUGGUGUAGCGGUGAAAUGCGCAGAUAUCAGGAGGAACACCGGUGGCGAAGGCGGGUCUCUGGGCAACAACUGACGCUGGAGGAGCGAAAGCCGUGGG
rnacentral:rRNA from 1 species